rnacentral:rRNA from 1 species
UACGUAGGGCGCAAGCGUUGUCCGGAAUUAUUGGGCGUAAAGAGCUCGUAGGCGGCUUGUCGCGUCGGCUGUGAAAGCCCGGGGCUUAACCCCGGGUCUGCAUUCGAUACGGGCAGGCUAGAGUUCGGUAGGGGAGAUCGGAAUUCCUGGUGUAGCGGUGAAAUGCGCAGAUAUCAGGAGGAACACCGAUGGCGAAGGCAGGUCUCUGGGCCACUACUGACGCUGAGAAGCGAAAGCAUGGGGAGCGAACAGG